GACGAACGCUGGCGGCGUGCUUAACACAUGCAAGUCGAACGGAAAGGCCCUGCUUUUGUGGGGUGCUCGAGUGGCGAACGGGUGAGUAACACGUGAGUAACCUGCCCUUGACUUUGGGAUAACUUCAGGAAACUGGGGCUAAUACCGGAUAGGAGCUCCUGCUGCAUGGUGGGGGUUGGAAAGUUUCGGCGGUUGGGGAUGGACUCGCGGCUUAUCAGCUUGUUGGUGGGGUAGUGGCUUACCAAGGCUUUGACGGGUAGCCGGCCUGAGAGGGUGACCGGCCACAUUGGGACUGAGAUACGGCACAGACUCCUACGGGAGGCAGCAGUGGGGAAUAUUGCACAAUGGGCGGAAGCCUGAUGCAGCAACGCCGCGUGCGGGAUGACGGCCUUCGGGUUGUAAACCGCUUUCGCCUGUGACGAAGCGUGAGUGACGGUAAUGGGUAAAGAAGCACCGGCUAGCUACGUG
rnacentral:rRNA from 1 species